rnacentral:rRNA from 1 species
UACCAGCACCCCGAGUGGUCGGGACGUUUAUUGGGCCUAAAGCAUCCGUAGCCGGUUCUACAAGUCUUCCGUUAAAUCCACCUGCUUAACAGAUGGGCUGCGGAAGAUACUAUAGAGCUAGGAGGCGGGAGAGGCAAGCGGUACUCGAUGGGUAGGGGUAAAAUCCGUUGAUCCAUUGAAGACCACCAGUGGCGAAGGCGGCUUGCCAGAACGCACUCGACGGUGAGGGAUGAAAGCUGGGGGGAGCAAACAGGG